UACGGCCAUAUUACAUUGAAACAUUGGUUCUCGUACAAUCACCGAAGUUAAGCAACGUUGAAUCUGGUCAGUACCUAGAUGAGUGACCGCUUAGGAAACUCGAUGC